rnacentral:lncRNA from 1 species
CUGCAUCAAUAUCAACUGGACUGCCGAGGUGUUUCAGCUCCGCUUCAAGUUUAUCAAUGCUUUUGUCGAUCAAAGACACAAUAGCAGGUAUGCGAGCCUUAAUUACUGAUUCAAGGUGCUAGAAGCAAAAGUAAUUAUACUUAAAAAAUGAAAACCAGGAAAUGAAAAAUUAAAAAAUAUGUCAACUCUGAUCAUAAGCGAGUGGUAACUUUACCUUUGAAAGAGAUUUGGCUAAAUAAUUAGAACCCAUUCUGUUUGCUAAGUGGCUGUAGUCAGGGCUUGUGGCAAAGAAUUCAUGCUCCUGGCGCCUUGCAGCAAUCAUAUCAACAUUUCUGUUAAUGUCAGCCUGAGAACGGUUCACAAUUCCUAUCCAGGGAUGUUUCAUCCGGAAAGAUCUUCCCUCAAGAACCUUCAACAUUAAAACAUAUUAGAUACGCCAUUAUGUGACUGUAUAUAGGUGUCAUGAUUCACUCUUGUUCUCCAACCUUUGCUAAACAUUCCACCACAGAACCUAAUCCAUUUUUCUAAGCAUAAUUUUCAGAGACAAAGUUGGAGAACUUACCUCCAAAGCGUUUGUACCGCAGUCCAUCAAAUCAAGCUUCGUCAACACACCAAAUGUCCGUUCGCCUAGAAAGAGAAUGAUAUCAAAUGAUGUUGUGCCACAAUACUAUCAUAACUCAACAUAAUAUAUUGGGCCAGCAUAAAUUCUUCUGGAGAAAUACCAGUUGGAUCAACUUCUCGAGCUAACUUAAUGGCAUCAGAGGUUGCAACAUCUUGAUUGGCUGGAGUUAUGGCUAAAAUGACGCAAGUUGGCUACAAAUCAAAACCAUAUAACCGUUACCGAACUUUGAAAUACAUAGAAUAGUUACUUUUCUCCAAAACCGAUCAAUAUUUCUUGCGGAUGAGAUGAGCUGAAUAGAAGAAUGAGAAGUGCAUUACUCUAUCACAGCAACCUUUUAGUCUAAUUCAUACACCAUGCCGAAGAUGAAAUUUUACAAGUUGGCAUCCAAAAGAAGCUUGAAGUGAGAUCUCCUAGAGCUUCUUAGCACUAGAUGUAGGGAAAAACUUUUACAUGGAACAGUUAAUAGCAGGUCUAGUCCAUGGUGCACUUGCACAUGUUUACAUAUGCGGUUGAAAGUUGUUUUUACUUGUGAAUGUAGUACAUAGUACUUAUAAAUACCUUCUCCACGUAUGAACGAACCAGGUUUUCAAUUUCUUGAAUGAUAUUCUCUUGCUGGCCCUCUGUUAAUAAUCAAAAAAGGUUUAAGCAAAUAUCAUAACACGUAACAGAGUUAAAUCAAUCUAUAUGAUGAAAUGGAGAAACAUACCCACAGCAACCUUUGUUAAACCAGGUAAAUCCACCAAAGUCAAAUUGACGACUGUCAAAAAUGACAAACCACUAGACAUCAGCGAAAAUAUGAAGCAGGAAAUACAUGAAAAUGCCAAUAAAAAUGUAAGAACAGCAUCGGUUAGAACCCAACAAGCAUUGAGCUUAAGGUCGAUGAAAGGAACAUGUCUCACAGCUUCUAUCAAGAGAAAAGACAAAACUUGAAACACUAGGACAACUUUCUUUAAUACUACGGAAUGGUUGCACGUCUAUAGUUAACUACUUGUUUAGUCUUAUUUCUACAUGGAUUGGACAUUAAUAAAGGUAGAAAACAUACCAUUUUCAGAAUAAAUACUUAGAUUAAUAGGAAGAGGAGAAAUUUGGUUCGUCUUCCCAGUGACCCUGUUUGUUUCUUCUUGAAUCUCUGAACGUACCAUAGCUUCAUAUGACCAUAAAGAAAUAAAUCAAAAAUUCGUAAAAAAAUUAUUUUGAGAAAGGGAAGAAAAAAAAAUUGACUAUGUAAAGGAAGCAUUGUUCUGAAUAUGCUGCCAUAAAACAAAAGGAAAUAUCAUUGACAUCCAAUCGGAAACAAUGAAUGGUGGAACAUGGAGGUAAGACAAUAUAAAAUACAAUAUUUUAUCCAAUGGAACCUCUUUCCAAAUAUACAAAAUUGAAUAUUCUCUACAACUUACAAAAAUCAACAAAUUUUCUCUUUCCAGUAUGAAGAAACUGUGCAUAAUCUUCUUGCCCUGGCUCUAUCUGGUGCAGCUGCAAUACUAGAGGCCUUCUUGUCAUAAUGCCUAUAAAAAAUACAGAAACCAGAAAGUAGACAAACAGUGAACAUAAAAGAAAAGGAAAUAAAAAUAUUUAUAACUGCAACUUAGAAUUUUUAACCGUGGUUUUUCUAUUUUCAAACUAAAAGCAUUGUGUUACAGUGAAGUUAGGUAUGAUUUUUAAAGGUAGAUUAGGUUGCAUAGUGUAUGUACAUGACAUAAGCACAGAUGAGAGCACUACCACAAGCUCUGGUUUAUAAGACAAAGACACCUAUAAUAAAUAAACAGAAUCCUGUUCAUCUUUUUAAGUUUCUUUGUUAAAAUAAAGGCAUAUAAUCAAGAAAACCAUAUCGACUACUGUUUUGCACUUUUUAAUUGACUCCUUAUGGAAAGUGAACAAGAUUAAUAUAGAAAAUACCAAAUACCAUAACUAUUGCACUCAUGGAUGCUCAAGAGCAACAUUUCCAGCAGAAAAAACAUAAGAAAAUUUUCAACAGUGCAAAAUAAUUUGAACCCAUGAAUCAACAUAUCCUAUAUUUUUUGUAACUCCGUUUUCUGUAAUGGCCAUGCAGAGAACAAAUAUCAGACCCACUCGUAUACAAAUGAGGGAAUUCCGGCACAUUUUGACAGUAAAUAUGGUCAUAAAAUCACGAUGAUAAUGGACGUGAGAGAUGAUGUAUGACACGAGACGAAAACGUUCAAGCACCGACAAUAUGAUUAAGGGUAAUUGUAAAAUCAAGGAUCAAUCUUUCGGAAAGCUUCCAAAUCUGCCA